rnacentral:rRNA from 1 species
UACGUAGGGUGCGAGCGUUAAUCGGAAUUACUGGGCGUAAAGCGUGCGCAGGCGGUUUUGUAAGCUUGAGGUGAAAUCCCCGGGCUUAACCUGGGAAUUGCCUUCAGGACUGCAAGGCUUGAGUACGGCAGAGGGAGGUGGAAUUCCGCGUGUAGCAGUGAAAUGCGUAGAUAUGUGGAGGAACACCGAUGGCGAAGGCAGCCUCCUGGGCCAGUACUGACGCUCAUGCACGAAAGCGUGGGGAGCAAACAGG